rnacentral:rRNA from 1 species
CCGUAGCCCAAGAGACUGGGAUAACACCUGGAAACAGAUGCUAAUACCGGAUAACAACACUAGACGCAUGUCUAGAGUUUAAAAGAUGGUUCUGCUAUCACUCUUGGAUGGACCUGCGGUGCAUUAGCUAGUUGGUAAGGCAACGGCUUACCAAGGCAAUGAUGCAUAGCCGAGUUGAGAGACUGAUCGGCCACAUUGGGACUGAGACACGGCCCAAACUCCUACGGGAGGCAGCAGCG